UCGGACCGUGAAGCCAUCCGUUCCAUCCGCCUCAAGAAAGUGGAGCAAUUGUGGAGCCAGGGGUUGAAGCCGUACGGCUAUAAGUGGGAUAGAAGUCACAGUGCUAGGGAGCUUCAAGAGAUAUACAAGGAUCUUAACAAUGGCGAAGAGUUGGAUGGCGAAAGUCACCGUGUCUCCGUUGCUGGCCGAAUUGUGGCUCGUAGAGCCUUUGGGAAACUUGCUUUUCUCACUUUAAGAGAUGACUCCAGCACUAUUCAGUUGUACUGUGAGAAAGAAAGGCUUUUGAAUGAUCAAUUUGAGCAGUUAAAGACACUUGUUAAUAUUGGUGAUAUAUUGGGUGCUUCUGGCUCUAUUAAGCGGACUGAGAAAGGGGAGCUUUCUGUUAAGGUGGAUUCUUUUUCAAUCUUUACUAAAUCACUACUUCCUCUGCCGAAUAAGUUUCAUGGUUUAACCCACAUUGAUAAGUGAUACAGUCAAAGGU